CUGCCAGUAGUCAUAUGCUUGUCUCAAAGAUUAAGCCAUGCAUGUCUAAGUCCAAGCUGUGUUCACACGGCGAGACCGCGGACGGCUCAUUAAAUCAGUCGUGGUCCAAAUGGGCCAGUGCAAAUCCUACUUGGAUAACUGUGGUAAUUCCAGAGCUAAUACAUGCAACUGAUAUCCCGAAGGCGGUGUUGGGGCUUGCUUGCCUUGCGCUGCGCUGCUCUGACGGAUGCUUUUAUUAGACCAAGCCGCUGAGGACUUGAGGGUUCGCGCUCUCUUGUUUGACUCGUGUGAUGGUGACUCUGGAUAACCAAAUUCUGACAAGCGCACGUACUUCUCUUCUGAGCGAGACGGCGCUGCCACUUUCGAGUGUCUGCCUUAUCAGCUAUCAACCGUUCGUUAUGCGCGACCGAUGGCUUUGACGGGUAACGGGGAAUCAGGGUUCGAUUCCGGAGAGGCAGCCUGAGAGACGGCUACCACGUCCAAGGACGGCAGCAGGCACGCAAAUUACCCAAUCCCAGCAAAUGGGGGAGGUAGUGACGAAAUCUAACGAUGCGGGCGCCCUUUCUGGGGCCCCGCAAUCGGAAUGGGCACUUUCUAAACAACCUGUUGAGAACCUACUGAAGGGCAAGUCUGGUGCCA
rnacentral:rRNA from 1 species